CCGGACCUGACUGCUAUCGGAUUGGUACUAAGCCAUGCGAGUCGUUGUAGCAAUACAAGGCGGACGGCUCAGUAACACGUAGUCAACCUAACCUAUGGACGUGGAUAACCUCGGGAAACUGAGAAUAAACCGCGAUAGAUCAUAACGCCUGGAAUGGCUUAUGGUUAAAAUAAUUUAUUGCCGUAGGAUGGGACUGCGGCCUAUCAGCUUGUUGGUGAGGUAAUGGCCCACCAAGGCUAUAACAGGUACGGGCUCUGAGAGGAGAAGCCCGGAGAUGGGUACUGAGACACGGACCCAGGCCCUAUGGGGCGCAGCAGGCGAGAAACCUUAGCAAUGUGCGAAAGCACGACUAGGUUAAUCCGAGUGAUUUCUGUUGAAGAAAUCUUUUGUCAGUCGUAAAACCACAGACGAAUAAGGGGUGGGCAAGUCUGGUGUCAGCCGCCGCGGUAAUACCAGCACCUCGGGUGGUCAGGAGGUUUAUUGGGCCUAAAGCAUCCGUAGCCGGCUAUGCAAGUCUCCGGUUAAAUCCAACUGCUCAACAGAUGGGCUGCCGGAGAUACUACACAGCUAGGGAGCGGGAGAGGUAGACGGUAUUCUGUGGGUAGGGGUAAAAUCCACUGAUCCAUAGAGGACCACCAGUGGCGAAGGCGGUCUACCAGAACGCGUUCGACGGUGAGGGAUGAAAGCUGGGGGAGCAAACCGGAUUAGAUACCCGGGUAGUCCCAGCUGUAAACGAUGCAAACUCGGUGAUGCAUUGACUUAUGGUCAAUGCAGUGCCGCAGGGAAGCCGUUAAGUUUGCCGCCUGGGAAGUACGGACGCAAGUCUGAAACUUAAAGGAAUUGGCGGGGGAGCACCACAAGGGGUGAAGCCUGCGGUUCAAUUGGAUUCAACGCCGGA
rnacentral:rRNA from 1 species